rnacentral:rRNA from 1 species
UGGGGAAUAUUGCACAAUGGGCGCAAGCCUGAUGCAGCCAUGCCGCGUGUAUGAAGAAGGCCUUCGGGUUGUAAAGUACUUUCAGUCGGGAGGAAGGUGGUAAGGUUAAUAACCUUGGCAAUUGACGUUACCGACAGAAGAAGCACCGGCUAACUCCGUGCGAGCAGCCGCGGUAAUACGGAGGGUGCAAGCGUUAAUCGGAAUUACUGGGCGUAAAGCGCACGCAGGCGGUUGAUUGAGUCAGAUGUGAAAUCCCCGGGCUUAACCCGGGAAUUGCAUCUGAUACUGGUCAGCUAGAGUCUUGUAGAGGGGGGUAGAAUUCCAUGUGUAGCGGUGAAAUGCGUAGAGAUGUGGAGGAAUACCGGUGGCGAAGGCGGCCCCCUGGACAAAGACUGACGCUCAGGUGCGAAAGCGUGGGGAGCAAACAGG